rnacentral:rRNA from 1 species
GAUGAACGCUAGCUACAGGCUUAACACAUGCAAGUCGAGGGGAAACGACAUCGAAAGCUUGCUUUUGAUGGGCGUCGACCGGCGCACGGGUGAGUAACGCGUAUCCAACCUGCCCAUCACUUGGGAAUAACCUUGCGAAAGUAAGACUAAUACCCAAUGAUAUCCCACGAAGGCAUCGGAAUGGGAUUAAAGAUUUAUCGGUGAUGGAUGGGGAUGCGUCUGAUUAGCUUGUUGGCGGGGUAACGGCCCACCAAGGCAACGAUCAGUAGGGGUUCUGAGAGGAAGGUCCCCCACAUUGGAACUGAGACACGGUCCAAACUCCUACGGGAGGCAGCAGUGAGGAAUAUUGGUCAAUGGGCGAGAGCCUGAACCAGCCAAGUAGCGUGCAGGAAGACGGCCCUAUGGGGUGUAAACUGCUUUUAUAAGGGAAUAAAGUGGGUCACGUGUGACUUUUUGCAUGUACCUUAUGAAUAAGGACCGGCUAAUUCCGU